CAUGUCCUGCUGCUGAGAAAGAAAGGAAGAGUGGCAGAGGCUUCCACGAAGACAACGCGAACGAAGACCGAGGAGAUGCGGAGGAAUCACUCGCUUCUCCUCCAUCUAUUCUGGAAGGAAGGAAGGAAUCCCAUUUCCUCUUCCCAUGGCCGCUUCCUUCUCUCCUCGGCGCCCGAAUCCCACGGCGCUUCUUCUCUCUCUGGCCGCCUCCCCCGUCCGUGGCGAUCGGAAGCCAACCCUCUCCCCUCCGGCCUCGCCACCCGUCAUCUCUUCUCCCGGCCAUCGCAGGCGGCGACGAGAGCCCAUUUCUGCGCCGUGCCUGCGGUCGGCCUCAAGGGUCUCGUCCUUGACGGGGUCCGCGCUCUCAAGAUCUCUUUCCAGCGGCGGUCCGGGUUUGAUCCCAAACGACUCAUCUCUUCGCAUGGAUUCCCUCUCUGGAGAAAAUUGAUGCCGUUAGCAAAUGGAGACGGAGUGGUCUUUGGUUUGAUUGGAGCUAAUGUUGCUGUUUUCUUAUUAUGGCGGAUUGCUGAUCCUGCAUUCAUGAGGAAACACUUUAUGAUUUCACUUGACAAUUUUAAAAGUGGCCGCUUGCACACUUUGAUUACGAGCGCAUUUAGUCAUUCUAAUACCAGCCAUCUUGUGACAAAUAUGAUCGGCCUUUACUUCUUCGGAUCAAGUAUUGGCAACCUAUUUGGUCCUGAUUUUUUGCUGAAAUUGUACUUAGCUGGUGCAUUAGGUGGAUCAAUUUUCUACUUGGUGCACAAGGCAUUUAUGGUUCCGUCUUCAAAGGGUUAUCGAGGAUGGGAUGAAUCAAGAAUUCCUGCACUGGGUGCAAGUGCUGCCGUAAAUGCCAUAAUUCUUCUUAAUGUGUUUCUUUUCCCAAAAAAUAUAUACUAUAUCAACUUCAUUAUACCUGUGCCUGCAGUAUUAAUGGGAGCAUUCUUGAUUGGAACUGAUUUGUGGAGGAUUAAGCAGGGCGAGGGACACAUUUCAGGUUCAGCACAUUUAGGUGGGGCCGUAGUCGCUGCCCUGGUGUGGGCCGGAAUCAAGAAGCGCUGGAUCUGAUCAAGCAGGCAAUCAUUAGACACAUAUGUUCAUCACAGGGGUAUGGAAUUAAGUAGCAAUGAGCACUGUGAUCAUACAUUGUUCUUGGGAUGCCUCUCCUGCAUGCAGCGAACAACAUAGUACUCUUAAAAAGUUCAAUGUUACAGAUUAUCGUAGAGAUCGAGUUGGAGGAUCUAUUCGUAUGAUGCUAUACGACACAUGAGCUUGUAUUAGCCUUCAUCCGUCCAUCUCAUUAAAUUUGUGCAUUAGAAACAUGACUGUUCUUUGGUAUCGAGGCAUCUAAAUAUCGAAUCGGAACAUCUAAAGAA